GUAGGGAAUUUUGCGCAAUGGGCGAAAGCCUGACGCAGCAACACCGCGUGAGCGAUGAAGCCCCUUGGGGUGUAAAGCUCUGUCAGUAGGGAAGAAUAAAUGACUGUACCUACAGAGGAAGCAUCGGCUAACUACGUGCCAGCAGCCGCGGUAAGACGUAGGAUGCAAGCGUUGUCCGGAAUUAUUGGGCGUAAAGAGUUCGUAGGCGGUAUGUCAAGUCUGGUGUUAAAGACUGAGGCUCAACCUCAGGAGGGCAUUGGAUACUGGCAAACUAGAGUGCAGAAGAGGCAAGGGGAAUUCCCAGUGUAGCGGUGAAAUGCGUAGAUAUUGGGAGGAACACCAGUGGCGUAAGCGCCUUGCUGGGCUGUUACUGACGCUGAGGAACGAAAGCCAGGGGAGCAAAUGGGAUUAGAUACCCGAGUAGUCC
rnacentral:rRNA from 1 species